CGUAGGAUCCGAGCGUUGUCCGGAUUUACUGGGUGUAAAGGGUGCGCAGGCGGACUGGUAAGUCAGUGGUGAAAUCUCGUCGCUUAACGACGAAACUGCCUUUGAUACUAUCAGUCUUGAGUCCGGUAGAGAUCUGUGGAAUUCCGAGUGUAGCAGUGAAAUGUGUAGACAUUCGGAAGAACACCAGUGGCGAAGGCAGCAGAUUGGGCCGGUACUGACGCUCAUGCACGAAAGCGUGGGGAUCAAACAGGAUUAGAUACCCUGGUAGUCCACGCCCUAAACGAUGUACACUUGAUGUCGGCCUGUAAGGGUCGGUGUCGGAGCUAACGCGUUAAGUGUACCACCUGGGGAGUACGCUCGCAAGGGUG
rnacentral:rRNA from 1 species